rnacentral:ncRNA from 1 species
UAACGGGGUGCCGCAAGGCUGAGAUUAUACCCAUAAAACCUGAUCUGGAUAAUACCAGCGGAGGGAACUAUGAAAA